rnacentral:rRNA from 1 species
CCGCACGGGUGAGUAACACGUAUCCAACCUGCCGUCUACUCUUGGCCAGCCUUCUGAAAGGAAGAUUAAUCCAGGAUGGCAUCAUGAGUUCACAUGUCCGCAUGAUUAAAGGUAUUUUCCGGUAGACGAUAGGGAUGCGUUCCAUUAGGUAGUAGGCGGGGUAACGGCCCACCUAGUCAACGAUGGAUAGGGGUUCUGAGAGGAAGGUCCCCCACAUUGGAACUGAGACACGGUCCAA